UGGGGAAUUUUGGACAAUGGGGGGAAACCCUGAUCCAGCCAUCCCGCGUGUGCGAUGAAGGCCUUCGGGUUGUAAAGCACUUUUGGCAGGAAAGAAACGUCGCGGGUUAAUACCCCGCGAAACUGACGGUACCUGCAGAAUAAGCACCGGCUAACUACGUGCCAGCAGCCGCGGUAAUACGUAGGGUGCAAGCGUUAAUCGGAAUUACUGGGCGUAAAGCGUGCGCAGGCGGUUCGGAAAGAAAGAUGUGAAAUCCCAGAGCUUAACUUUGGAACUGCAUUUUUAACUACCGGGCUAGAGUGUGUCAGAGGGAGGUGGAAUUCCGCGUGUAGCAGUGAAAUGCGUAGAUAUGCGGAGGAACACCGAUGGCGAAGGCAGCCUCCUGGGAUAACACUGACGCUCAUGCACGAAAGCGUGGGGAGCAAACAGGAUUAGAUACCCUGGUAGUCCACGCCCUAAACGAUGUCAACUAGCUGUUGGGGGCCUUCGGGCCUUGGUAGCGCAGCUAACGCGUGAAGUUGACCGCCUGGGGAGUACGGUCGCAAGAUU
rnacentral:rRNA from 1 species